rnacentral:rRNA from 1 species
CAGGCCUAACACAUGCAAGUCGAACGGUAACAGAGAGUAGCUUGCUACUUUGCUGACGAGUGGCGGACGGGUGAGUAAUGUCUGGGGAUCUGCCUGAUGGAGGGGGAUAACUAUGUGGAAACGGUAGCUAAUACCGCAUAAUGUCGCAAGACCAAAGCGGGGGACUUUCGGGCCUCGCACCAUCAGAUGAACCCAGAUGGGAUUAGCUAGUAGGUAGGGUAAUGGCUUACCUAGGCGACGAUCCCUAGCUGGUCUGAGAGGAUGACCAGCCACACUGGAACUGAGACACGGUCCAGACUCCUACGGGAGGCAGCAGUGGGGAAUAUUGCACAAUGGGCGCAAGCCUGAUGCAGCCAUGCCGCGUGUAUGAAGAAGGCCUUCGGGUUGUAAAGUACUUUCAGUCAGGAGGAAGGGUGUGAAAUUAAUACUUUCAUGCAUUGACGUUACUGACAGAAGAAGCACCGGCUAACUCCGUGCCAGCAGCCGCGGUAAU